GUCUACGGCCAUGCCACCCCGAACGUGUCCGAUCUCGUCUGAUCUCAGAAGCUAAGCAGUUUCGGGCCUGGUUAGUACUUGGAUGGGAGAACACCUAGGAAGACCAGGUACUGUAGGCA
rnacentral:rRNA from 1 species